GACGAACGCUGGCGGCGUGCUUAACACAUGCAAGUCGAACGGUGAAGGGGAGCUUGCUCCCCGGAUCAGUGGCGAACGGGUGAGUAACACGUGGGCAACCUGCCCCAGACUUCGGGAUAACGCUUCGAAAGAGGUGCUAAUACCGGAUACGAACUCCUUGGGCAUCCUGGGAGUUGGAAAGUUUUUCGGUCUGGGAUGGGCCCGCGGCCUAUCAGCUUGUUGGUGAGGUAACGGCUCACCAAGGCGACGACGGGUAGCCGGCCUGCGAGGGGGGCCGGCCACACGGGGACUGAGACACGGCCCAGACUCCUACGGGAGGCAGAAGUGGGGAAUAUUGCGCAAUGGGCGAAAGCCUGACGCAGCAACGCCGCGUGAGGGAUGACGGCCUUCGGGUUGUAAACCUCUUUCAGCAGGGAAGAAGCGAAAGUGACGGUACCUGCAGAAGAAGCACCGGCUAACUACGUGCCAGCCGCCGCCGUAA
rnacentral:rRNA from 1 species